CCGGAAGUGUAGCGUUGCCAUGGCGAGGGCCGGGUGCGGGGCCCGCCCCCGCAGCGCCUCAGGGAGCGCGGGGCCCACUGACCCGCGGAAGCCAGCGGACCCACUUGUGCGGCGGUCGGCGCGGGGCGCGAGAUGAGGAAAUCGAGGCCGCAGAGAAGGGACUUACCCAAACUUAAGCUUUGUGUGGGCCUUGGAGCUAGGCUGAAGGAGAAAGUGGAGUCUCACUGGGGGAUUCUUGAACCUCUGGUCUGAAUGAACAGCCGAUUGAUACAGCUCUCCACUGCAUGCAGCUUAGGAACCUCAGUCUCAGGUGACCCCACAGACUACCAGCACCCCCAGCUCCACCCUUGCUCUUCCCCGAGCGUGUCCUAACCCUAGCACUUGUGCCACAUCUAUCCAUUGGCCAAAAUGAGAACUGGGUGGCAGUUCCAGGCCCUUCUUUCAUGCCGAGGCUCUCCUGGCACUGGUGCACGCACACCUAAAGGGAGGCCUUUUCAUCAGACUUGCUCAGCCAGGAGCUCAGAGCCUUCCAUGUCACAUCCUGUGCUGGGACCCCUGUGCCAGAGGCUCAGCAGCUGUUCACUUGUUCAGCUCACUGCACUUACUGAGUGCUGCCUAUGAGUCAGGAACUGGCCAAGUUCUUAGGAUGCAACAGGGAAACAAACAGUAACUGGCAUGUCAAGAAUUAAAACAAGGUGAUGAGAUAAGAGAAUGACAAGGUAACCACAGAAGAUCUCUGAGGAGGUUGCACUUAAGAUGUGAUCCGAGUCCCACAAAGGAGCAUGCUGUCCUAAGAUCCGGUGGAAGAACUUUCCAGACAGAAGGAGCAGCUGAUGAAGGUGGCGGUGAUGAUGAAGCUGGUAGCACCAAAUAAAUGUGCUAGACCAGGGGUUGGCCAGCUUUUACUGUGAAGGGCUAGGCAGCAAACAUUUUAGGCUUUGCUGACCAUGUGGCUUUCUGUUUUUUUGUUUGUUUGAGAUGGAGUCUCACUCUGUCGCCCAGACUGGAGUGCGGUUGCACAAUCUCCACUCACUGCAACCUCUGCCUCCCGCGUUCAAAUGAUUUUCCUGCCUCAGCCUCCCCAGUAGCUGGGAUUACAGGCACAUGCUACCAUGCCAGUUAAUUUUU
rnacentral:lncRNA from 10 species